rnacentral:rRNA from 1 species
CCUCCCGCAAAUACAACGUAUAGGAGGUCCCGCCUGCCCAGUGACAUGCUUUAAACGGCCGCGGGUAUUCUGACCGUGCAAAGGUAGCGCAAUCACUUGUCUUUUAAAUAAAGACCUGUAUGAAUGGUAGAACGAGGGCUUAACUGUCUCCCUUUUUAAGUCAAUGAAAUUGAUCUGCCCGUGCAGAAGCGGGCAUAAUAAUACAAGACGAGAAGACCCUUUGGAGCUUAAGACCUCAGAUCAAUUAUGUCAAGGACUAAACAGUUAAACUAAUUAACACCUGAUCCUAGUCUUUAGUUGGGGCGACCACGGGAGAAAAUAAAGCUCCCACGAGGACUGGACCAACCCCUCCACCCCCUCUAGAACCAAGAGAGACAUCUCUAAGUCACAGAACCUCUGACCAUAUAGACCCGGCCACCCGCCGAUUAACGGACCAAGUUACCCCAGGGAUAACAGCGCAAUCCCCUUUCAGAGCCCAUAUCGACAAGGGGGUUUACGACCUCGAUGUUGGAUCAGGACAUCCUAAUGGUGCAGCCGCUAUUAAGGGUUCGUUUGUUCAACGAUUAAAGUC